rnacentral:lncRNA from 10 species
UGGAAACUUACAGUGAAAUUUUCGUUGUUUAUAGCUUUCUUGGGGAAGAAAACACAUGCACAAAUCCUGGUGUAAGGAAUAUUUUAAGCAUAUAUCUUCAAUAUCAUUCAUCCAGGACCGAGCAAGACCAACACUCUUCCUCCUCCUCUGCCUACUCAAUGUGAAGACAAUGAGGAUGAACACCUUUAUGAUGCUCCACUUCCACUUAUUGAAUAGUGCUACACAUGAAACUUGUAACCAGUUACUACAGGCGAAAGCAAAUCCAUGUCUUCAGGCUGGUGUCAUCAGGGAGAGAAGCUUUGGUUUCCACAUAAGGAUAUAAGAUCAUUGAUGUAAAACAAGACAUGUAACCUCUCAAAUUGAGAGAAUGGAUUGGAGAGAUAUUGUUGACCAUGUUUUCCCCUGUAUCUCACCUUCCCCUCUCCAAGACUUCCUUGUCAGUUACCCAUAUUGAUAUCAGUUUAUCCACAUCCAUGCUUUCAAGUUUAAACAAAGAAACUAGGCAAAGGCAGCUAUGUAUUCGCUAGGAUUAGGGAGGAGAAGAUAAUGAACCACUGGAUAGUGAGAAGAAAGAGAGGUGGAGAAAGUGAGAGACCCCAGUAACAGAGGACAGGGACACAUUGCUAAGGAUAGGGACACAUUCACUGUAAUAUAGAAGGCCAUGCUUAUAUGUAAAAUAUGCAGUAAUUGUAUAUAUAUGUACAAAAGUGAUGACACACAUAUGCACAUAAACAAAACACAAUUACUGUCUAUGUUUCUUUAUUUGUGACCUAAUGUUUUAUGUUGUUUGUAACUGAAAAAAAAAUUCCCUUCUGAAUAAAAUGUCAAUUUUGCGAUUGCAUUUUUUCUUGUUUUUACUGUAAUAUUUCAAUUAUUUGUAUAUAUAUAUUUUUGAGACAGGAUUUCACUCUGUU